GAUGAACGCUGGCGGCGUGCCUAAUACAUGCAAGUCGAGCGAACGGACGAGAAGCUUGCUUCUCUGAUGUUAGCGGCGGACGGGUGAGUAACACGUGGAUAACCUACCUAUAAGACUGGGAUAACUUCGGGAAACCGGAGCUAAUACCGGAUAAUAUUUUGAACCGCAUGGUUCAAAAGUGAAAGACGGUCUUGCUGUCACUUAUAGAUGGAUCCGCGCUGCAUUAGCUAGUUGGUAAGGUAACGGCUUACCAAGGCAACGAUGCAUAGCCGACCUGAGAGGGUGAUCGGCCACACUGGAACUGAGACACGGUCCAGACUCCUACGGGAGGCAGCAGUAGGGAAUCUUCCGCAAUGGGCGAAAGCCUGACGGAGCAACGCCGCGUGAGUGAUGAAGGUCUUCGGAUCGUAAAACUCUGUUAUGAGGGAAGAACAGAUGUGUAAGUAACUGUGCACAUCUUGACGGUACCUAAUCAGAAAGCCACGGCUAACUACGUG
rnacentral:rRNA from 1 species